UAUCAUAACGUUUAUAAUUCUGAAGCAAUGCCUCGGUUAAGUAUCGCGUUGAUCGUUACUAUAAUAAACGUACUGAUGUGCGUUGCAGAAGAGAAGCUUUACUCUGAUGAAUUCGAUAAUAUCGAUAUUCAAACAGUUUUUAAUAAUAAAGGUUUAAUAGAAGAUUAUUACAAUUGCUUUAUGGAAAUAGGACCAUGUAAGACACCACAGCAGAGAUUUUUCACAGGAAUAUUUAGUGAAGCUUUCCAAACUAAAUGCAAGAAAUGUACUGAAAAGCAAAAAAUAAUAAUUGAAAAAGAAAUGAUUGCGCGUUGAUAACAUUAAUUCGGACUUCCAACACACAAUCAGUCUGAAACGCUAAUAAUCCCUCCUAAAUUAAGGUGAAAUCACAUGAUGCUCGAUUUCUUGCAUGACAGCGUACCUGCUUUGAUGACACUACUUGUGGCAGUUAUGGCAAACAGAGAAAUUUUUGGCAAGCGGAUCAAUUGGCAUUGGUAGCAGUCCACAGUAACUGUUGGAACUGCGUAAAACAAGCUGCUUGAGUUAAAAGUUGAAACAGAAACGCCAGUAUACUGGCAAGGGAGAACGUCCUGUGAAAUUGUUGCAUGACAACACCAGGCUACACACUGUUUCCAAGAUAAAAGGCACCAUAAUAAAUUUUGGCUGGGACGUCUUACAGCACCCGGCAUAUUCAUCAGCAUUGCUUCAACCGAUUAUCAUUUGUUUCGGUCGAUGCAACACGCCGUGUCCGAUACCCACUUCCAAUCAGUGGAUGAGAUCCGAAAAUGGCUUGACGACUUUAUCGUAUCCAAAGACACAGCAUUUUUCCGAGAUGAAAUUCAUCAGCUACCUGAAAGAUGGUUUAAAAUUAUAGAAA